UAGGGAAUCUUCCACAAUGGGCGAAAGCCUGAUGGAGCAACGCCGCGUGUGUGAUGAAGGCUUUCGGGUCGUAAAGCACUGUUGUAUGGGAAGAACAGCUAGAAUAGGAAAUGAUUUUAGUUUGACGGUACCAUACCAGAAAGGGACGGCUAAAUACGUGCCGA
rnacentral:rRNA from 1 species